AUUGAACGCUGGCGGCAGGCCUAACACAUGCAAGUCGAGCGAGCGGCGGACAGGUGAGUAAUGUCUGGGAAACUGCCUGAUGGAGGGGGAUAACUACUGGAAACGGUAUCUAAUACCGCAUACAAUCAGAUGUGCCCAGAUGGGAUAAGCUCGUAGGGUGGGUAACGGCUCACCUAGUCGACGAGACCUAGCUGGUCUGAGAGGAUGACCAUGCACAGUGGAACUGAGACACGGUCCAGAGUCCUACGGGAGGCAUGAGUGGGGAAUAUUGCAACAUGGGCGCAAGCCUGAUCCAGCCAUGCCGCGUGUGUGAAGAAGGCCUUCGGGUUGUAAAGCACUUUCAGCGGGGAGGCGUUACCCGCAGAAGAAGCACGGGCUAACUCCGUGCCAGCAGCCGCGGUAAUUC
rnacentral:rRNA from 1 species